GUCCACGCUGUAAACGAUGUCGAUUUGGAGUUUGUGCCAUUAUGAGCGUGGGUUCCGAAGCUAACGCGAUAAAUCGACCGCCUGGGGAGUACGGCCGCAAGGUUAAAACUCAAAUGAAUUGACGGGGGCCCGCACAAGCGGUGGAGCAUGUGGUUUAAUUCGAUGCAACGCGAAGAACCUUACCUGGCCUUGACAUGCUGAGAAGUCUGUAGAGAUACGGAUGUGCCUUCGGGAACUCAGACACAGGUGCUGCAUGGCUGUCGU
rnacentral:rRNA from 1 species